UACAGAGGGUGCAAGCGUUGUUCGGAAUUAUUGGGCGUAAAGCGCGUGUAGGCGGCUUGGCAAGUCGGGUGUGAAAUCCCUCAGCUUAACUGAGGAAGUGCACCCGAAACUGAGUAGCUAGAGUACUAAAGAGGGUCGCGGAAUUCCCGGUGUAGAGGUGAAAUUCGUAGAUAUCGGGAGGAACACCGGUGGCGAAGGCGGCGACCUGGGUAGAUACUGACGCUGAGGCGCGAAAGCGUGGGGAGCAAACAGG
rnacentral:rRNA from 1 species